rnacentral:snRNA from 1 species
AAGCAUGAACUUUUAAAAUGU